rnacentral:rRNA from 1 species
UACAGAGGUCUCAAGCGUUGUUCGGAUUCAUUGGGCGUAAAGGGUGUGUAGGUGGCGCGCUAAGUCGGGUGUGAAAUUUCGGAGCUUAACUCCGAAACUGCAUUCGAUACUGGCGUGCUUGAGGACUGGAGAGGAGACUGGAAUUUACGGUGUAGCAGUGAAAUGCGUAGAUAUCGUAAGGAAGACCAGUGGCGAAGGCGGGUCUCUGGACAGUUCCUGACGCUGAGGCACGAAAGCCAGGGGAGCGAACGGG